rnacentral:rRNA from 1 species
GACGAACGCUGGCGGCGUGCUUAACACAUGCAAGUCGAACGGUGAAGCGCCUUCCUUUUUGGUGGGUGUGGAUGAGUGGCGAACGGGUGAGUAACACGUGAGUAACCUGCCCCCUUCUUCUGGAUAACCGCAUGAAAGUGUGGCUAAUACGGGAUAUUCUGGGUCUGUCGCAUGAUGGGUCUGGGAAAGAUAUUGUUUCGGUGGGGGAUGGGCUCGCGGCCUAUCAGCUUGUUGGUGGGGUGAUGGCCUACCAAGGCGGUGACGGGUAGCCGGCCUGGGAGGGUGGACGGUAACACGGGGACUGAGACACGGACAAGACUCCUACGGGAGGCAGCAGUGGGGAAUAUUGCACAAUGGGCGCAAGCCUGAUGCAGCGACGCCGCGUGAGGGAUGGAGGCCUUCGGGUUGUGAACCUCUUUCGCCAGUGAAGCAGGCCUGCCUCGUUUGUGGGUGGGUUGACGGUAGCUGGAUAAGAAGCGCCGGCUAACUACGUG